AGAGCGAACGCUGGCGGCAGGCCUAAUACAUGCAAGUCGAACGGAUCCUUCGGGAUUAGUGGCGGACGGGUGAGUAACACGUGGGAACGUACCCUUUGGUUCGGAACAACUCAGGGAAACUUGAGCUAAUACCGAAUGUGCCCUUCGGGGGAAAGAUUUAUCGCCAUUGGAGCGGCCCGCGUCUGAUUAGCUAGUUGGUAGGGUAAAGGCCUACCAAGGCUACGAUCAGUAGCUGGUCUGAGAGGAUGAUCAGCCACACUGGGACUGAGACACGGCCCAGACUCCUACGGGAGGCAGCAGUAGGGAAUCUUGCGCAAUGGGCGAAAGCCUGACGCAGCCAUGCCGCGUGAAUGAUGAAGGUCUUAGGAUUGUAAAAAUUCUUUCAGCGGGGACGAUAAUGACGGUACCGCAGAAGAACGCCCGGCUAACUUCGCGCCAGCAGCCGC
rnacentral:rRNA from 1 species